GCCGGGGUGGCGGAACUGGCAGACGCACAGGACUUAAAACCCUGCGGUGAGCGAUCACCGUACCGGUUCGAUUCCGGUCCUCGGCACCA
rnacentral:tRNA from 1 species